CCCUCCCUCGCCAGAUCGAUCCCCCUCCCUCGCCACGAUCCCCCUCGAGCGCUCUCGCUCUCCACCGCCGCCGAGCAAACCCCCCGCGCCCGCUCUCCACCGCCGCCGCCGACCCCCCGCACACGACGGCCCCUGCGCCCGCUCCGCCGCCGGAGCACUAGGAGGAGGAGUCCUUCUUCCUCCAGCUGUCGCCAUCUCGCGAUCGCCACCGUCUCUCCGGUCCACCCCGGCCUUCACCGAGCCUGUCACGAUCUCCGCGGUAGUGUGCUUAGAAACCUAAUACAGAGGUACCGAUCAACCUCUGCUGGGUAGAGGAUACGGGGCGUGCACUCUCAGGCCACUUCUCUUCAUAGCAACAUUUUUAGGAGUUGUCCAGAAGGAGUUAUACAAAACUUCAGAGGGCAGCCCACGUUACAUUCCAACACACCUGCUCCAAAUAUAACUACUGGUGCAGUGCAUAGAGAUGCCGUCGUAUGUCAUGUACAAGGGUAAGGUUCCCGGAGUCUACGACGACUGGGAGGAGUGUUGGAGACAGGUUCACCGUUUUAGCGGUAACAGUUACAA